GAUAGAUAGAUAGAUAGACAGACAGGUGACAAACAAUACAUGCCAUACUAUUCUGUCAUUCUGAUCAUGUGGAGACAAAGGAACAAACUGGGAGGAGGAAAUUCUCUCUUUUCACCUACCUUGUCAUCUCAGUGUCCCUUCCCUGGUACUUUUCAUGAUCAACUUGAGGAUUUGUCUUAGAGGGAUUUUUAUGGUUCUGAAAUUUAGAGAACAAUGUAUAUCAAAGUGCACUGUGAAUGAUUUGUGCAGACAUUUGUUUCAAAUGAUGGAUGCUCUUAAUUAAAGCUAACCCUGGGGGUAAGAUUCUUGAUGGAAGGACUGUUAUCUGUCUAGCUGGAAGAAACUGCUUGCCCAGAGUAAUAGACAGGAAAAGGCAAAAGUGAAGUUACUCUGCCAUGCAGGUGAGUGAGUUCAUAAUGAAAACCACCACUGAAUACUAAAAAUCACCAAGCAAGAUUCCAGGGUGAGUUAAUGAAAUGGCAUGUUCCUUCUUGGCAUUGUGCCUCUGAGAAUCUAUCUUGUGUCUCUCGUGCAUUUUUCUGUUGUAAAACUAUGGGUUACUAGUGCUAUGUAUGGCCCUGUGGACAGUCCAGGUUCUAGCAUUUAAUCAGUUAUAGUAGUGUUCACACACAUCUAAAUAUAAUAUUACAAGUGUCAAAAUAAAAUUUCUAAGGUACUUCAGAAGUUAACCUUCUAAAUCCUAAAGUCUCAAAGACUUAAUGAAAAACAUUCCAAUUAGAUGUAUUAACGUAUACAUUUUAGUCUCUCAAUCCUUUUUAAACAACAAUUACUAAAAAGAUGAUGCAAAAUAAUGUGCACAGAACAGGAUAUACUAAUGUUAAUGUUUAAAUUCAUAAUCGCUCUAAAUGUUGUAUUUCAGGACCUAUAUGAAUGCAACUACUCACUCAGAAAUUAUACCCAGACGUUUGGCUUCAUUUCAUAUUUGAUGGUGCUCAGAAUAUGCUAUCUCAAAACAUGGUGACUAGUCAUAGGAAGCGUUUGAGCAGAAGAAUGAAUGUGAGGAAGGACUCUGCUUUUACCCUGAAGCUGCUCAUAAAACCUAGAAAGGGCUUCCUGACAUUUCCUGAAACAGGUCAGAAGCACCACAUGUCCCUCCAUGGAGGAAAGAAAGGAGCAGCCUCAUAGCUACAGACUGAUGAAGGCACACACAGGGGACAGGAGCCAAAAGCCCUCACUAUUUGCCAUUCACCUGCUUGGCUCAUAAUGGUUUUAUUUUGUCACACACUCUAUAACAUUCCACUUGCCAUCAACUCCAGUAUAAAAUCUCAGGUCUCAGCACUUGUUGAGGGCUUUCCUUCCUUGGGAAGGAUCUGGUGUUGUGAAAGUUUGUACUAGGUAAGUCUCCAUGCUUUUCUCCUCUCUGUCUCUGCUUUGUUAUGGAGUCCCCAACAAGGGACUAAAUGUGGGUAGAAGGAAAAAGUAUUUUUCCUCCUGCAUUCACUAUUUUUCUUCCAAAACUCUUAUUUGUCAACCAAAUGAUAACACUCUCAUUUUUUAAAAAAAGUUCUCUCUUCUUCAAAAAACGUCUUCUAUUAGAGCCAACAAAUAAAACUGUUUUAUUCUCCCUUCUAAGGAUACCUUGGAGGAAUGGGAAUUUGAAUGGAACAGGCCCUCAUCAGCUCAUAUGGAGUGGCAUUAUUAGGAGGUGGGGCUUUGUUGGAGUAAGUGUGGCCUUGUUGGAGGUUGUAUGUCACUGUGGGGGAGGGCUUUGAGGCCUCUUAUGCUAAAGGCACUCCUGGUGUUUCAGAGCACUUUUGUUGCCUGUGGGGUACAGAUGUAGCUCCUUCUCCACUCCCAGCUCCUUCUCCAUGUCCUGCCAUGUCCUGCAUGCCUCCAUGUCCUGCCAUGAUGACAAUGGACUAAACCUCUGAAACUGGAAGCCACAGCUGAUUAAAGGUUUUCCUUUAUAAAAGUUGCUGUGGUUAUGGUGUCUCAUCACAAUAAUACAAACCCUAAUUAAGACAGAAGGUAUCCAAAAUAAUUACAGAGCCCACAGGGAAUAAAUAAACAGUAAUUGAUUCUUCUUAAAAUUAAUUAAAUGAUUCAAUGCCAGCCUGGUCUACAGAGUGAGUUCCAGGAUAGACUCCAAAGUUAUACAAAUAAAUCUUGUCUUAAAACAAAACAAAACAAAACAAAACUUAAGUAAUGAAGUCACACAACUUCCUAAUUGUUCAUGUUUCAGUUAGGUUCCAGGGUACUUCACAGUCAAAUAUUUAUUCACCAAAGAAAGAUAAUGAAAUGCCACUUAAGAUUACCUUUUCCUGAAUAUGAUGUAAACAUUUGUGGAAAUGCUCAAUAAUAAUCACAGGCAUUAUGAAAUUCUUCCUAAGGAAGGUAAAAGGAAGAUAGUUAAAAGCAUAAGUGAAUGAACUGAGCCAGGCUGACCAUCCGUGCCUGCAGAAAAACAUCUUCUAGUCCAAAGUCAAAAAUCUGAAUUGUGGUGACAGUGACUGUCUCACACUUUUCUUUGAAAAUAUAAAGGGAUCCUGCCCAGAGCUCCCAUCUGGACCAGAGAAACAUGGUCCAUGAUGUUCCAUUUUUUCUUACAAGAUUUCAGAGACUUGAACUUAAUAUACAAUAUCAUAUCAAAUGUGGACAUGUUUUCUCAAAGAAGGAUCCCCAUUGUAUUAUUUUUAUACUCCGAGGAUGAUGUGUAAUACCAAUCACCAAAGCAUUAGCAAAUAAAGACUUUUCCCACACACUG